rnacentral:tRNA from 1 species
GCCGGGGUAGCUCAGCUGGUAGAGCAGCUGAUUCGUAAUCAGCAGGUCGUGAGUUCGAAUCUCAUCUCCGGCU